UACGUAGGCCGCGAGCGUUGUUCGGAGUUACUGGGCGUAAAGAGUGCGUAGGCGGUUUUCUAAGUUUGGUGUGAAAUCUCCCGGCUUAACUGGGAGGGUGCGCCGAAAACUGGAAGGCUUGAGUAUGGGAGAGGUAAGCGGAAUUCCUGGUGUAGCGGUGAAAUGCGUAGAUAUCAGGAGGAACACCUGCGGUGUAGACGGCUUACUGGACCAUAACUGACGCUGAGGCGCGAAAGCGUGGGGAGCGAACAGG
rnacentral:rRNA from 1 species